CAAUUUUAGAGUAAGAGAAAAGGGUCCCCGAGAUGGGAAGAAAACCAAAUAUGGCGGCAGGGAAAUACAUGAUUAUGUUAAUGGUGAAGGUGUCACAACAUGCAAGAUGGGGGAGUUGAGAAGGGUCACAGAAGAAAUUAGGAAUUUCCACAUCCUUGAAGCAGGUCACUUGUAAGGCAAUCAAGUUGUGCAGCUGGGCGUCUAAAAGCUGAGAAAAAAAAAAGACAACAAAACUAGGAAGCCACAGAAACACGGGUUCAUGAUGGCUGAAUGAUAUAGAGGGUGACAGAUGGCUACAAACCGGUCAUAGGCCAUCACACUCAGGAGCAUGUCUCUCUUCCAUGCCUUCAAAAAUGGCAAAGAGAGACAUCUGAAUCAGGCAGCCUGCAUAGGAGGUGACUCUGCUGUGAGACUGGAUGUCCACAAUCAUCUUGGUGACCGUGGUGGAGGUGAAACCGAUGUCAGCCAAGGACAGGUUGGAGAAGAAGAAGUACAUGGGGGUGUGGAGUUGGGAGUCAGGGCUGAUGGCCAGGAUGAUGAGCAGGUUGGAGAGGAAGAAGUACAUGGGGUUGUGGAGGUGGGAGUCAGGGCUGAUGGCCAGGAUGAUGAGCAGGUUCCCCAGCACCGUGACCAGGCACACGGACAGGAACAGCCCAGCGACGACCGGCUGCAGUUCUGGAUCCUCUGAGAGUUGGAGGAGGAGGAAUAGAGAGACAUCUGUUAGACUCUGUGGGUCUGUAUAGUUUGGACACCUUUUGCCUGGAAAAGAUGGUUGAAAAAUCAGAAACAAGUAAACCAAUACCCAGCCUUGUGUCUGCAUUUUGGAUAUAAGCAAUUCACAAGUAAUGUUUUCAGAUAUCAGAGCAAUCCACACUCAGCAAUAUUUUGUAGUUCUGACAAGCUCAAUUGCCUUAUAAUGCUUUCAACAUCGAUUGCUGUGUUAUUCACGUCUUGCUGUACACACCUGCCUUAGAGACACUAGCUUCAAGAACGUUCCAAGAACCAGAUCAUCAUAUAUAACAAAUUCGUAAUUGCUAGAAAAUACAGCCUAUCUUUUCCGAAGAACAAGAUGUAAUAAAACCAUUGUCUUCACUUUAAGAAAAAGGUUAUCCUAAUUGAAGGAAAUUAAGAACUCAAAUAUUUUAUUUAUUCUACUAAAUUGAUACAAAUUCCCUUGAUUUAGAACAUUCAUAAACACUGUAUAACAGCUGAGACCAUGCCAUCUGGAAAUGAAAUGAAAGUUGAUAGUUCAUAAGCAGAAAAUAGUUCCACAUGCCAGUUAGGUCCUAGUGAUUUCAUCAUUCUGUUUUUGGACUUUUCUCCUUUGAGAGAGUAAUUGCUUACUCAAAUCAGUGGGUCUUGUUUUAAAAUUCACGUAAGCUCUAACUCCUGUCCUUAGCUUAGGUGGACUUAGAGUUUUCAUCAGAAAGUUUGGCUGGACGCGGUGGCUCACGCCUGUGAUCCCAGCAUUUUGGGAGGCCGAGGAGGGCGGAUCACGGGGUCAGGAGAUCAAGACCAUCCUGGCCAACAUGGUGAAACCCCGCCUCUACUAAAAAUACAACAACUUCACCCGGUAUGGGGGCGCGUGCCUGUAGUCCCAGCUACUCGGGAGGCUGAGGCAGGAGAAUGGCUUGAACCUGGGAGGCAGAGACUACAGUGAGCCGAGGUCACACCACUGCACGCCAGCCUGGGCAACGAGAGCAAAACUCCGUCUCAAAAAACAAAAAACAAAAAGAAUCAAGUAAGUGAAAGUCACCCUGAUGACAGCCAAUUUUGGUGAAGCAAGGAAGGGUCAAUUCAACCAUUAACAUAGAUUUUGACUUUUGCUGUCUCCUAUGUGCCAAGAAAGAUAUAGGAUCUGGGGAAUCAGAAACAAAAGAGACUCCCUUGUUCCUCUCACAAUACUCAGUACUUACUGAGAGAAGGACAAAACAAAACGUCCUGUGUGGAAUGCAGGGAAAGCAGAACUUCAGGUCAGGGGAUAUUUCCGUUGAAUUGUGUGGAGUUGAAGCUGAAAAUCUUAAGGAAUGUAUCUAAAAUUCACUUUGCCUUUACUUUAUGUAUCCGUCACCUAGAGAUCACACAGCGGGCACCCACGAUCAGCUUAAUCGUCACUCACUUCCAUCGGAUCAACUGGAAAUCAAGUCAGAUGAGAGUGCUGAGUCUCAGAGGAUGGACAUCUCACCCUUUGCCAUACAGAGAAGUAGAAAGGGUGGUAUUCAAAAUUCAUGGCCAGACUCGAAGUCCCGGGUACUAUACUUCUUGGUCUUCCAACUCUCAAAAAGUUGUGGGGUUUUUUGGUUUUUGUUUUUGUUGUUUUGAGACGGAGUCUCGUUCCGUUGCCCAGGCUGGAGUGCAAUGGAGUGAUCUCGGCUCACCACAACCUCUGCAUCCCAGGUUCAAGCUAUUCUCCUGCCUCAGCCUGCCAAUUAGCUGAGAUGACAGGUGCCCGCCACUACGCCUGGCUCAUUUUUUUCUAUUUUGAGUAGAGAUGUGGUUUUACCAUGUUGGCCAGGCUGGUCUCGAAUUCCUGACCUUGUGAUUCACCUGCCUCAGCCUCCCAAAGGGCUGGGAUUACAGGCGUGAGCCACCGCUCCCAGCUUCCAAAAGUUUUAAGCAGAGCUCAGAGGUCUUAACCACAGGCACAUCGGAGGAGCAUUUUUGAAACACUUUCCAGCUUCCUCAAUAGGAAUGGAAGCCAAACUCCGAAUUGAUGACUCCUCGGAGGAAGUCGAGAGCUGUAAGGAAAGCCAGGAACAGGGGCAAGGGAGAGAUGUGUCCCAAAUGAUCCUGUGCCAAUUCUUUCUGGAAUCCUCGAUGUGAUCUCAGCUGCUGUUUCCAUACUUGACACAGUGAUUGUGGCACUCACUGGUCUAGCUGUGGUCUACAAGGAACCCCCAAAGGGAAGGGCACAGUGAGCAGGGGCAUCCGCCUGAGUGAUGAGAAUUUGAGAGGGCAGGUUGGUUGCAGGGAGAGGACUGGCCAAAUGCCAUGUGUCUGGACUUAGACUGCCUGGAUGAAAUUGGACUUCACCCUUUUUGGCUUCAUGAUCGAGUACGAGUUAUUUGAAAAGGCGUUGCUUCUUUUCUAGUCUGUAAAAUCAUUCUGAAAUUGUGCACUAAUAACGUGGAGACUACGCAGAUGAAAUGAAACAAGCUGCAUAGAGCACAGAGCUCAGAGCCUGGCCUUUAGGAAACCCUCAGUAAGGGUUCAUGAUGCCAUGGUGUCUGUCGUCAUCCUCUUUAUCCUUAUCAUCACCUUCAUCAUCUUUUUGUUGUUCUCAGGGAAUAGUUUAGAGGGACUGAUUCCCUGCUAUCAUGGGUGAGAUGUCUAUGAAAAGGACAACCAGUGGGGGAGGGUAGCAAAAUUUUGAAUAAGAUUUCUGAGACCCCCAGCACAUCCAAGAACAGAAACUGCACACUCUGCUGAGCGGACAGUUUGCACAUUGGUCUCCUCCCAUCUGCCCAGCGCACUCUCCUCUUUGUCCUGAGGAGGAGGAAACAAAACAAGGCUCCCGACCGUCCCUCAGCACUCACUUGAAGGGGUGGCCCGUCCUUCCACACCUGUGGGUAUUUCUAGUCGGGUGGGAUGAGAGACUGAGGAAAGAAAUAAGACCCAGAGACAAAGUAUAGAGAAAUGACAGUGAGCCCAGGGGACCGGCACUCAGCAUACCAAGGAUUUGCACCGGCACCGGCCUCUGAGUUCCCUCAGUUUUUAUUGAUUAUUAUUUUUAUUAUUUUAGCAAAAAGGAAUGUAGUAGGAGGGCAGGGUGAUAAUAAGGAGAAGGUCAGCAACGAAGAUGUGAGCAAUAGAAUGUAUGUCAUAAUGAAGUUCAUGGGAAGGUACUAAGACUGGACGUGUACAUAAGCCAGAUUGAUGUUUCUCUCCACCCAAACAUCUCAGUGGAGUAAAGAAUAACAAGGCAGCAUUGCUGCAAACAUGUCUCGCCUCCCACCAUAGGGCGGUUUUCCCCCAUCUCAGAAUUGAACAAAUGUACAAUCGGGUUUUAUACCGAGACACUCAUUUCCCAGGGUCAGGCAGGAGACAGCGGCCUUCCUCUCCCUCAACUGCAAGAGGCUUUCCUCUUUGACUAAUCCACCUCAGCACAGAACCUUUACGGGUGUCGGGCUCAUGGACAGUCAGGUCUUUCUCCUCCCACGAGGCCACAAUUCAGACUAUUCCAUGGGGAAAAACCUUGGACAAUACGCCGCUUUCAAGGGCAGAGCUCCCUGCGGCUUUCCACAGUGUAUUGUGCCCCUGGUUUAUUGAGACUAGAGAAUGGCGACGACUUUUACCAAGUAUACUGCUUGGAAACAUCUUGUUAACAAGGCACGUCCUGCACAGCCCUAGAUCCCUUAAACCUUGAUUUCAUACAACACAUGUUUUUGUGAGCUUCAGGUUGGGUCAAAGUGGCUGGGGCAAAGCUACACAUUAACAACAUUUCAGCAAAGCAAUUGUUGAAAGUACAGGUCUUUCUCAAAAUGGAGUCUCUUAUGUCUUUCCUUUCUACAUAGACACAGUAAGAGUCUGAUCUCUCUUUCUUUCCCCUGCACUCACUGAACUGCCCUUCCCCUCUGCUGGGCCAUGACCACGGAGAACAGGUCCACUGUCCUCCCUGUGUGGUGCACCAUGGAGGCUCAGACUCCAUCCUCAAGGCUGGCAAGAAGACAGGGUGAGACAUGAGCCUCCUGAUACAGGUGACGGGAGUGGAGCCCACAGGACUGGAACCUCACACUGCAGGGCUGGAGGCACAGACUAUUUACUAUUCUGUGGCCUGGGGGGCUCAAGGCACAGAGCUCCUUAUUAGCCAAAGUCAUCCAAGUUCCCCAAGCUCUAAGGAUUCCUCAUAAUAAUGCAAGAAGAAGAAGAGAAAAGUGAGUGUCCAUAGAAGCUUUGGGGCUCUUCCUCUAAUCAGGAGAAAGCUGGUGUGUAUUCUUCGCUUCUUUCUUUUCUUUUUAAAAAUCCAACUGAUUUAAUUUUCAUCUUUUAUUAUGGGAAAACAUACCACGUAUAAAUAUGAAAAAUUAUAAAUAUAUAUUAGUUCAUAUAGAAUGGGCAGUAUAAACAUUUACAGUUUCCACGCUUUUUCAGUUUACAGUUUCAUGACAUUAAGUACGUUCACAUUGUUUAGCAACCAUCACCGCCAUCAUCUCCGGAACAGUUUUAUUUUUCAAAAUGGAAAUUGCACCCAUUCACCAAGCUCUCCACUCCUCUCUCUCGCCCAUCCCUGGGGGCCACCUUUCUAGUUUGCAACUCUAGGAGUCUAACUACUCUAGACACUUGAUAGAUAAGUGGAAUCAUACCGUGUUUAAUUUUUUUUUUAGUAUACAGAGUCU
rnacentral:lncRNA from 1 species